AAAGGAGUAAUGAGGAAAAGAAGCGGUGACGUGCAACAGUGUGAUUGAAACCAUUGGAAUCGGCUUCAAGUUCUCCUCUCCCAUCAUCCCGCCUUUUUUUCUAACCAUUCCCGCAAAAUGCAAUCUCCACUCUCUCCCUCUCCCUAUCUCUCUUUCUCUUUCUCUCCUCGCCGGCUGGUCACCGGUUUUCUCCGAUCACUUUCCCGACCACUACAAUUCCUGAUUAACAACGCGCCUUCGCAUUUCCAUAACUAUUUCAACUCUUCCCCCUUUCGAUUAUAUACAACAUAGAAAAUGUCUAGUCUCGGUGGCUCUUCCCGAAAGAGUGGUUCGUUUUUGAGUAGCCCUACCCGGUCAAAGAAGAAAGCCUCCGAUUAUUCACCACCGGAUUCCACUUUUCGUAAACCAUUUCCUCCUAUGCGCACCACCACGGGAGAGCGAACUGUGAAAUCAUUGCGACUUUCAAAGGCAUUGACAGUGCCUGAAACAACAACUGUCUAUGAAGCUUGCCGUCGGAUGGCUGUUCGCAGAGUAGAUGCUCUAUUAUUAACUGAUUCUAAUGCUUUGCUCUGUGGAAUCCUCACAGACAAGGAUAUAACAACAAGAGUUAUUGCCCGUGAGGUUAAUCUUGAAGACACACCUUGUUCCAUGGUUAUGACAAGGAAUCCGGUAUUUGUCCUUACCGAUACUCUUGCCGUUGAAGCACUCCAAAAGAUGGUGCAAGGGAGAUUCAGACAUUUACCUGUGGUGGAGAAUGGAGAAGUGGUUGCUAUCCUUGACAUAGCUAAGUGUUUAUAUGAUGCCAUUGCCCGUAUGGAAAGGGCUGCAGAGAAAGGAAAGGCAAUUGCAGCAGCUGUUGAAGGUUUCGAAAAACACUGUGGAGCAUCUCCCUCUGGCUCCAAUUCAUCAUUCAUUGAUACUCUUCGGGAGCAGAUAUUUAAGCCAUCAUUGUCUACAAUCAUUCCUGAGAAUUCAAAGGUUGUUACAGUUUCACCAACAGAUUCGGUUUUGUCAACAACGAAAAAGAUGCUUGAACUUCGUGCAAGUGCUGCUGUUGUAACAGUUGAUAACAAACCUUGCGGUAUCCUUACUUCAAAGGAUAUCUUGAUGCGAGUAAUAGCACAAAAUCUCUCCCCAUCGUCAACUCUUGUUGAGACGGUCAUGACUGCAAAUCCGGAAUGUGCAAUAAUUGAUACACCAAUUGUUGAUGCACUUCACAUAAUGCAUAAUGGAAAGUUUUUAAAUCUUCCCGUGGUUGAUAGAGAUGGCAUUGUUGUUGCUACGGUUGAUGUGAUUAGUAUCACUCAUGCUGCUGUGGCUACAGCUAGUCAGGCUGGGAAUACUGCCAAUAUGAACAAUGAAGCUGCCAACACCAUGAUACAAAAGUUUUGGGAUUCGGCCAUGGCCUUCACUCCAAAUGACGAGGAAGAAGAUUCACAAAGUGAAAAUUCCUUGAAAUUGAUUUCCGAAGGAGGAGAAACAGGGAGAUCCAUUCCGUAUAAUGGAUCAAGCAUGCAGACCACAUUUUCCUUCAAAUUACAAGAUAAGAAGGGUAGACUGCAUAGAUUCACCUGCGAUACUCGGAGCUUGACAGAAGUUAUAACUUGCAUCAUUCAGAGAGUAGGCGAUGACAUUGACCCGAAGAACCAGCCCCAAAUUUUGUAUGAAGAUGAAGAGCAUGAUAAAGUUGUAUUGGCUUCAGAUAGUGAUCUCGCAGCAGCCGUGGACCAUGCAAAAAUGGCUGGUUUGAAGGGAUUGAGAUUGCACUUAGAUUACUCUGGAACAUGUGGUUAUGGAACAAAAUCAAGUUUAAAUUCGGAAUAUGCUAAUUCAGAAGCAUGGGCCUCGGCCUAUCAUGCCGUUGCAGCUGGAGCUGCAGUUGUUGCUGCCUUAGGCCUAUUAGCGUUAUUCAAGAGAAGACAAUGAGAGAAAGAGAGAAGUUUUGGUUGGGAGUAGAGGCCAAUGCUGAAGUCAGUUAGAACUUUGGAGGGGCACACUUUUUGCGCUUGCCAAUCUAUCAUUUUAGUCAAAAAAUUGCAAACAAAAGAGCUAUGGAUGACGUGUUUGCAAUUUCGAGAUAUUUAAGGGCUAUAGUGGCAAUGCCUUGCACAUUCAUGACCAAAGUGGUUGCAUGCUAUUCUACGAUCCAUCCUUUAUAUUUUCUUUUCAAAUUAAUCAUUUAUGUUACACUCCAUCUAAAAUUAAAUAUAAGUAAAACUAAAAAUGUAUUUGCCCAACAUCAUUAACCUCUUCAACAUAAAAAAGUAGCUUGAAUAAUCAACUAGAUUUGGGAUUAGAUCAUAACACUUUUACGACAUUAUUGUGUGAAAACUAAAAAGACAAAUUUAAAAAACAACAUACAUAAUUUUAUUUUAUUUUUUGUCAAGCAGUCUAGUUGGCUAGAAAUUCCAACAUAUAUAAAACAAUGUUUCUGCCAACUGGAUUAAGCUUACGGGACACAACAGACAUAAUUUAAAAUAACUUGCUUAUAAAAAA